rnacentral:rRNA from 1 species
GACAAACAGGUCGAGUUAAGUUAUGGUUGGCAAAAAAGGGAGUCAGAAAGUUGUAAUGUAAGAGGUAAUUGAGAGAAAAAGAAAUUUUUUUUGUAGAGGUGGAAUUUGCGUAAAAAAAGGUGGGUUAAAAGUUUUCUGUUAUUUUGAUGCUCCGAGAAUUAAUGGAGAGACCGGGAUUAGAUACCCCGUUAUUUUUAUUGUAAAUUUUGGUUUCCUGCCUGAGUAUUACGGGUAGAAUUGACUUGUAGUUUGGUUGUUAAUUACAAGGUUUUUGUUACUUAAAACUCAAAAAACUUGGCGGUGCUUUAUUUCUUUCCAGGGGAACCUGUCCUGUAAUCGAUAGUCCACGAUUUAGCUUACUUUUUUUUGAAUAGGAUAGUUGUGUAAAUUGACCUAUCAGCUUGUAUACCGUCGUCGUCAGACUACCUUUAAAAGAGUAAAAGUUGUCGGGAAAAUAUUAAUUAGAGUAAGACUGUAUGUUGGUUAGUUUAGUUAUGUUCUGAUGUCAGAUCAAGGUGCAGUUUAUGAAAAAGAAGAGAUGGGUUACAUUAUAUAGUUAAUUUGGCAAUUAGGCUGUAAAGCUUAGUUAAAAUUGGACUUGGAAGUAAUAUUAUAAUGGAAACGAUUAGUUAGCAAAUGUGAAUAUUGUACUGAGGCGCGU